UACGGAGGGGGCUAGCGUUGUUCGGAAUUACUGGGCGUAAAGCGCACGUAGGCGGCUUUGUAAGUUAGAGGUGAAAGCCCGGGGCUCAACUCCGGAAUUGCCUUUAAGACUGCAUCGCUAGAAUUGUGGAAAGGUAAGUGGAAUUCCGAGUGUAGAGGUGAAAUUCGUAGAUAUUCGGAAGAACACCAGUGGCGAAGGCGGCUCACUGGACCGGCAUUGACGCUGAGGUGCGAAAGCGUGGGGAGCAAACAGG
rnacentral:rRNA from 1 species